GAGAGAAGAUACCGAAAGCCAAAAAUGUUGGAGUCACAUUGUUGAAUUGAGUUUCCGCUGCCCUGCAGGCAUCCGUCAAUCUCGUCACAAGCUCUAUUAGGAUUGCCCAAUAGUAAAAUGUGACAUUCACGAGUUGUGUUUUUCCACUGCUACGGUCCAAAGUAUAAACCCUAUAGACUGGAGUUCAUUCACAAUUUUCGGACCAAUUAAAUGCUUGUAAACAGCGGGGCCUGGAUGUGGCACAAACUAAACAAGCGCGUGCACGCAUGCACACACAUGCCUGGAAUGGAGUCCAUCCAGCUAGACACCAGCAGACCCCAUGACGGCUUAAAAUUUUCAAUGCAACAUCUUCUACUUUCUUAUUCCUGAUGCACUAUCUUGAAAUAAUAAUUUCAAAAAAAUAAAAUAAAAACAGCGGCUUAUAUCUAG